AAAAAAAAAAAAAAUUAGUCCUUUUAAAUUUAAAAAGUAUAGGUAUAUGAAGUUUAAGAUUUUUACAUUGUGUACUAUGUUAUAAACUGAUUACUACUGAUUAGGUAAUGGAAGUUACCUAUGUCACAUAGGCUAUGUCAGUUGUGCAUCCGAAAAUCGUCAUAAUAAUAUGAAGGUUGUAAAUCAUCAUACCUAAUAAAAGCAAUGCCCCGGAAAUGGUCGGAUAGCUCGUAGUCUGCCCAUCAUUGGAAAAAUCAUUAAAAAAAAAUUCAAGAACUGCUUCUGUAAAAGAUUGGCUUCAAUAUAAACAAAAUUUACCUACCCACAUAUUUUAUGAAACACAAUUUAAAUCAUAUUUAAAAUGUUAGAGAGUUGAUGAAGGUUAAAGAAUUGCAUUUAAAAUGUAUUUUUUCAGUGAUUUUUUCCUACUAAAUAUUCAAAAA